rnacentral:rRNA from 1 species
GUCCAGACUCCUACGGGAGGCAGCAGUGGGGAAUAUUGCACAAUGGGCGAAAGCCUGAUGCAGCGACGCCGCGUGAGUGAUGAAGGCCUUCGGGUUGUAAACCUCUUUUGGCCGGGACGAAGCGAUCAGUGACGGUACCUGCAGAAGAUGCCCCGGCUAACUACG